rnacentral:rRNA from 1 species
UACGGAGGAUGCGAGCGUUAUCCGGAUUUAUUGGGUUUAAAGGGUGCGUAGGCGGCUUAGUAAGUCAGCGGUGAAAUUUUGCAGCUUAACUGUAACAGUGCCGUUGAUACUGCCAGGCUAGGAUUUGGUUGCUGUGGGUGGAAUGUGUGGUGUAGCGGUUAAAUGCUUAGAUAUCACACAGAAUAUCGAUUGCGAAGGCAGCUCACAAAGCCAAGAUUGACGCUGAGGCACGAAAGUGUGGGGAUCAAACAGGA